rfam:Salmo salar isolate Sally breed double haploid chromosome ssa09, whole genome shotgun sequence.
UGGCUCAGUUGGUAGAGCAUGGUGUUUGCAAUGCCAGGGUUGUGGGUUUGAGUCCCAC